GUAGCGGUGAAAUGCGUAGAGAUCUGAAGGAAUACCGGUGGCGAAGGCGGCCCCCUGGACAGAUACUGACACUCAGAUGCGAAAGCGUGGGGAGCAAACAGGAUUAGAUACCCUGGUAGUCCACGCCGUAAACGAUGUCUACUUGGAGGUUGUGGCCUUGAGCCGUGGCUUUCGGAGCUAACGCGUUAAGUAGACCGCCUGGGGAGUACGGUCGCAAGAUUAA
rnacentral:rRNA from 1 species